rnacentral:rRNA from 1 species
AUUGAACGCUGGCGGCAGGCCUAACACAUGCAAGUCGAGCGAGCGUCGGACGGGUGAGUAAUGUAUGGGGAAUGUCCGAUAGAGGGGGAGAACAACUGGAAACGGUGUCUAAUACCGCAUAUUGUCGCAUUACCCAUAUGGGAUUAGCUAGUGGGUAAGGUAAUGGCUUACCUAGGCGACGAUCCCUAGCUGGUCUGAGAGGAUGAUCAGCCACACUGGGACUGAGACACGGCCCAGACUCCUACGGAGGCAGCAGUGGGGAAUAUUGCACAAUGGGCGCAAGCCUGAUGCAGCCAUGCCGCGUGUAUGAAGAAGGCCCUAGGGUUGUAAAGUACUUUCAGUCGGGAGGCGUUACCGACAGAAGAAGCACCGGCUAACUCCGUGCCAGCAGCCGCGGUAAUUC